UACGGGGGGGCAAGCGUUGUUCGGAAUUACUGGGCGUAAAGGGCUCGUAGGCGGCCAACUAAGUCAGACGUGAAAUCCCUCGGCUUAACCGGGGAACUGCAUCUGAUACUGGAUGGCUUGAAUUCGGGAGAGGGAUGCGGAAUUCCAGGUGUAGCAGUGAAAUGCGUAGAGAUCAUGAGGAAGACCAGUGGCGAAGGCGGGUCUCUGGACAGUUCCUGACGCUGAGGCACGAAGGCCAGGGGAGACAAACGGG
rnacentral:rRNA from 1 species